UGAUGAUGCCUCCCUCGGCAACCUUGCUGUACUGAACUGAUGAAGUACAUUUGAAGCCUUUUGCAUCUGACAGCUGAGCAUGUUAUU
ensembl:snoRNA